CGCGUUGGAUACCAGAGCUCUUACACCGAUGAAGAGCAGAGAUACAAUGUGAAGCAUUCGCAAAGU
rnacentral:rRNA from 1 species